UACAUGUGUGCAUUUUUAACCCCAUAACUGCUGAUGUACUCUGUGGCAAAUCAAAUUUUGAUAAAGUUUUGAGGCCAAACUCCUAACUUCUUUUCAUUCCUGGAGCUCAGUAACUCUGGAUAGGAAGCAUUUGUCAUCCAUAAAAGUGUUGAUUCCAUCUCCAGUAAUCACCCACCCCUCUAAUCCAUCAUACUCCAACUGAUUAAAUGUAAAUCUGAUUAGCUCACAUAAGAACUAAGAACUUUUUCUUAUUCCCUUUGGUAAACACAUCAGUCCAAUGACCUGGGCAUCAAGAGAAACAAGCUUUACACUUUACAGGGGAGCAUCAAUAAUCCCAAGGAAAUGCUGAUUCUAAGUGCUCACAGCCACCAGGAAGGCUGAGGGCACUUUAUGAGAGAAAUCCUUCAUCUCUUACACUGCUCAGAGCCACAGAUUUGCUUGGUUAGCUGAUCAUGCUUCCUUCAGAAGGCCUAUCUGCUUAAUGCAACAGCUCAAUAAGGCAGCAUUAAUUUUAAUUAACAAAUUGCUUGUACACCUACAGCUCUAUCACAUUGUCACUGUGGCCAGGGUUAGGAAAUUGUCCGAAGAAAAUAAAUUUGAAGCAACUCAGGCACAGCAAGCCUGUCUACCAGAUUGUCAGAAAAUGUCUUCAGGAUGGCCAGCAUGAGGCUUCCACCAAGAUUUAUCGACAAAAUGAGUCAGAAAAACCCCACAUCAUGGAACCAGGAACCAGGAAAAGGUAAAUUGAUCCAGACCUACAUGCACGCAGUGUUUGAUGUCCUUGGCAGCAAGAACCUGUGAUGGCAGCCAGGAUGAGCCCACUCUUCAAGAUUUUGCUGGGUUUGCAAUGUGGCAAUUAUUGCCAGAGAAAUGGAAGAGAUCUCACGUUUCCCUGGGAGUUGAAAUUUUGGAUAAUCACCUCCAAGGCAAAGAAAGAGUAACAGUGCAAACCAGGAAAUUAUUAACAUGAAACUAAAGCGAGUCCAUUCCUUUAACAAGGAUGUUGAACAGGAA